rnacentral:rRNA from 1 species
CAGUAGCCGCGGGAAUACGUAGGUCCCGAGCGUUGUCCGGAUUUAUUGGGCGUAAAGCGAGCGCAGGCGGUUAGAUAAGUCUGAAGUUAAAGGCUGUGGCUUAACCAUAGUACGCUUUGGAAACUGUUUAACUUGAGUGCAAGAGGGGAGAGUGGAAUUCCAUGUGUAGCGGUGAAAUGCGUAGAUAUAUGGAGGAACACCGGUGGCGAAAGCGGCUCUCUGGCUUGUAACUGACGCUGAGGCUCGAAAGCGUGGGGAGCAAACAGGAUUAGAUACCCGCGUAGUCCCUGUCUCUUAUACA